GGGAGGGGGAUAUGGGGGGAUGGAGGGAGAGAUGGGGAGAUGGAGGGGGAUGUGGGGGAGAAUGGAAGGGAAUGGGGGAAGAUGGAGGGAGAGAUGGGGGAGAUGGAGGGGGAUGGAUGGAUGGAUGGAUGAGGAUGGAUGGAGGGAUGGAUGGAAGGAAGAGGUUGGAUGGAGGGAUGGAGGGAUGGAGGGAUGGAGGGAUGAGGAUGAAGAGGUUGGAUGGAGGGAUGGGGAUGGAUGGAGGGAUGGAAGGAUGAGGAUGAAGAGGUUGGAUGGAGGGAUGGAUGGAGGGAUGAGGAUGAAGAGGUUGGAUGGAGGGAUGGAUGGAGGGAUGGAGGGAUGAGGAUGAAGAGGUUGGAUGGAUGGAUGGAUAGAUGGACGGAUGGAUGGAGGGAUGAGGAUGAAGAGGUUGGAUGGAGGGAUGGGGAUGGAUGGAGGGAUGGAAGGAUGAGGAUGAAGAGGUUGGAUGGAGGGAUGGAGGGAUGGAUGGAUGAGGAUGAAGAUGUUGGAUGGAGGGAUGGGGAUGGAGAGGUUGGAUGGAGGGAUGGGGAUGGAUGGAUGAGAAUGGAAGAGGUUGGAUGGAGGGAUGGAUGGAGGGAUGGAGGGAUGAGGAUGAAGAGGUUGGAUGGAGGGAUGGGGAUGGAGGGAUGAGGAUGAAGAGGUUGGAUGGAUGGAUGGAGGGAUGGAGGGAUGAGAAUGAAGAGAUUGGAUGGAGGGAUGGAUGGAGGGAUGGAGGGAUAAGGAUGAAGAGGUUGGAUGGAUGGAUGGAGGGAUGGAGGGAUGAGGAUGAAGAGAUUGGAUGAAGGGAUGAAUGGAGGGAUGGAGGGAUGAGGAUGAAGAGGUUGGAUGGAUGGAUAGAUGGAGGGAUGGAUGGAGGGAUGAGGAUGAAGAGGUUGGAUGGAGGGAUGGGGAUGGAGGGAUGAGGAUGAAGAGGUUGGAUGGAGGGAUGGGGAUGGAGGGAUGAGGAUGAAGAGGUUGGAUGGAGGGAUAGAUGGAGGGAUAAGGAUGGAAGAGGUUGGAUGGAUGGAUGGAUGGAGGGAUGGAGGGAUGAGGAUGAAGAGGUUGGAUGGAGGGAUGGAGGGAGGGAGGGAUGGAGGGAUGGAGGGAUGAGGAUGAAGAGGUUGGAUGGAUGGAGGGAUGGGGAUGGAUGGAGGGAUGGAAGGAUGGGGAUGAAGAGGUUGGAUGGAGGGAUGGGGAUGGAGAGGUUGGAUGGAGGGAUGGGGAUGGAGAGGUUGGAUGGAGGGAUGGGGAUGGAGGGAUGAGGAUGAAGAGGUUGGAUGGAGGGAUGGAUGGAGGGAUGGAGGGAUGAGGAUGAAGAGGUUCGAUGGAGGGAUGGGGAUGGAUGGAUGAGGAUGGAAGAGGUUGGAUGGAGGGAUGGAUGGAGGGAUGGAGGGAUGGAUGGAGGGAUGAGGAUGAAGAGGUUGGAUGGAGGGAUGGGGAUGGAGGGAUGAGGAUGAAGAGGUUGGAUGGAGGGAUGGGGAUGGAGAGGUUGGUUGGAUGGAUGGAGGGAUGGAGGGAUGGAGGGAUGAGGAUGAAGAGGUUGGAUGGAUGGAUGGAUGGUGGACAAGUGGCGGGCGAUGAGGAUCAUGGACGACCACCCAGCCCCUCCCUGGUGGCCCCCAACC
ensembl:lncRNA